GACGAACGCUGGCGGCGUGCUUAACACAUGCAAGUCGAACGGAAAGGCCCUGCUUUUGUGGGGUGCUCGAGUGGCGAACGGGUGAGUAACACGUGAGUAACCUGCCCUUGACUUUGGGAUAACUUCAGGAAACUGGGGCUAAUACCGGAUAGGAGCUCCUGCUGCAUGGUGGGGUUUGGAAAGUUUCGGCGGUUGGGGAUGGACUCGCGGCUUAUCAGCUUGUUGGUGGGGUAGUUGCUUACCAAGGCUUUGACGGGUAGCCGGCCUGAGAGGGUGACCGGCCACAUUGGGACUGAGAUACGGCCCAGACUGCUACGGGAGGCAGCAGUGGGGAAUAUUGCACAAUGGGCGGAAGCCUGAUGCAGCAACGCCGCGUGCGGGAUGACGGCCUUCGGGUUGUAAACCGCUUUCGCCUGUGACGAAGCGUGAGUGACGGUAAUGGGUAAAGAAGCACCGGCUAACUACGUG
rnacentral:rRNA from 1 species